rnacentral:lncRNA from 1 species
CCAAUGAAGAUUCCAGCGGGAUGGCCUGACCAGCGGGGCCGGCACUUUGGAGCCGUGGGUGCAGCCAGGUACCCCGUGCAGGGCCUGGGAGGCUCUCCAGGCCACAGUCCUCAGAGCGUGUUGGGUCCCAUGUUGUGUGUGGGUUCCAUGCCCUCCACACAGCAGGAGAGGGCUUCCCUGACCACACCUGCCCCCUCAGUCCUGCUUCUCCCCAGUAAGCCUGCACUGUGGGGUCUCCAUAGGAGGAGCUGGGGAAGCUGGGGCCCUCCCAGGGGUCCUGAUCGACCCUGGGGGCUCUUGGCCUGGUUUCGUAAGAUGGAGCACUGCAAAAGGCCAUGCUCAGAAAGCAAACGCAGGGCAGGGUGGGCCUCGAGCCGGGGCUGGAGGGGUCUCCACCCUUGCUGGCCUGAGAGAUGGCCCACAUUUCUUACUUGUGACCGCCCUGCUCUUCCUGGCCGCCCCCCCCAGGUGGCUGAACAGGGUGAUUUUGUUGUGGUGA